GAUGUUGGAGUCCAUGAUCAAGUCUCCAAGGCCUACUCGAGCUGAAGCUACUGAUGUUGCCAAUGCAGUUCUUGAUGGUUCUGACUGUGUGAUGCUUAGUGGUGAAACAGCUGCUGGAGCAUAUCCAGAACUGGCUGUUCGGACAAUGGCAAAAAUAUGCAUAGAAGCGGAAAGCACACUUGAUUAUGGUGACGUCUUCAAAAGAAUCAUGCAACACUCACCUGUGCCCAUGAGCCCAUUGGAGAGUCUGGCAUCUUCUGCUGUUAGAACAGCCAAUUCAGCAAAAGCAUCCCUUAUAUUGGUCUUAACCAGGGGAGGAAGUACUGCAAAACUGGUGGCUAAAUACCGACCUGGCAUGCCUAUUUUAUCUGUGGUUGUACCUGAGAUUAAGACCGAUUCCUUUGAUUGGUCCUGCAGUGAUGAAGCUCCUGCAAGGCAUAGCCUUAUUUUUCGUGGGUUGGUACCUGUUUUAUAUGCAGGAUCUGCUAGGGCUUCUCAUGCUGAGACAACAGAAGAAGCGUUGGACUUUGCCAUUCAACAUGCCAAGACAAAAGGACUAUGUAAGAAUGGAGAUUCUGUUGUGGCUUUACACCGAGUUGGAGCUGCAUCCAUAAUCAAGAUUAUUACUGUCAAGUGAUGAUCUUAUCAUAUAACUUUUGUUUCAGCUUUUUGCUUCUCCUUAAUUGAAUGUGAUGGAAAGAUGUUGCUGAUAAUGUCAGCUUGUUUUUCUCCUUUUAUCUUCAUCCAUUUUUUUCCUGUUUUGAAAUGAACCUCAGUUAUCAUUUUGAUGGGGAAUCAACGAUGUAGUGCGUAGAUCUUCAAAUGCUUGGUUGCUUCAAUUUUUGAUUUUAUAAUUAAUGGCCUGUGCUAGCAUGCAUUUCAAAGUCAGUGACAUUGAUGCAUAAGUUACUCCUUGACCCUCUAGAUAGAAGUAGUCUGAAUAUUCUAAGAUUUCAUUUCAACUCCAUGGACUAUGGGAGUUUUGGACAUUCACAAAUC
rnacentral:misc_RNA from 1 species